rnacentral:rRNA from 1 species
AACUCAAAUGAAUUGACGGGGGCCCGCACAAGCGGUGGAGCAUGUGGUUUAAUUCGAUGCAACGCGAAGAACCUUACCUACUCUUGACAUCCAGAGAAUCCAGCGGAGACGCAGGAGUGCCUUCGGGAGCUCUGAGACAGGUGCUGCAUGGCUGUCGUCAGCUCGUGUUGUGAAAUGUUGGGUUAAGUCCCGCAACGAGCGCAACCCUUAUCCU